rnacentral:rRNA from 2 species
UGAACGCUGGCGGCGUGCCUAAUACAUGCAAGUCGAACGAGUUCUCGUUGAUGAUCGGUGCUUGCACCGAGAUUCAACAUGGAACGAGUGGCGGACGGGUGAGUAACACGUGGGUAACCUGCCCUUAAGUGGGGGAUAACAUUUGGAAACAGAUGCUAAUACCGCAUAGAUCCAAGAACCGCAUGGUUCUUGGCUGAAAGAUGGCGUAAGCUAUCGCUUUUGGAUGGACCCGCGGCGUAUUAGCUAGUUGGUGAGGUAAUGGCUCACCAAGGCGAUGAUACGUAGCCGAACUGAGAGGUUGAUCGGCCACAUUGGGACUGAGACACGGCCCAAACUCCUACGGGAGGCAGCAGUAGGGAAUCUUCCACAAUGGACGCAAGUCUGAUGGAGCAACGCCGCGUGAGUGAAGAAGGCUUUCGGGUCGUAAAACUCUGUUGUUGGAGAAGAAUGGUCGGCAGAGUAACUGUUGUCGGCGUGACGGUAUCCAACCAGAAAGCCACGGCUAACUACGUGCCAGCAGCCGCGGUAAUACGUAGGUGGCAAGCGUUAUCCGGAUUUAUUGGGCGUAAAGCGAGCGCAGGCGGUUUUUUAAGUCUGAUGUGAAAGCCCUCGGCUUAACCGAGGAAGCGCAUCGGAAACUGGGAAACUUGAGUGCAGAAGAGGACAGUGGAACUCCAUGUGUAGCGGUGAAAUGCGUAGAUAUAUGGAAGAACACCAGUGGCGAAGGCGGCUGUCUGGUCUGUAACUGACGCUGAGGCUCGAAAGCAUGGGUAGCGAACAGGAUUAGAUACCCUGGUAGUCCAUGCCGUAAACGAUGAAUGCUAGGUGUUGGAGGGUUUCCGCCCUUCAGUGCCGCAGCUAACGCAUUAAGCAUUCCGCCUGGGGAGUACGACCGCAAGGUUGAAACUCAAAGGAAUUGACGGGGGCCCGCACAAGCGGUGGAGCAUGUGGUUUAAUUCGAAGCAACGCGAAGAACCUUACCAGGUCUUGACAUCUUUUGAUCACCUGAGAGAUCAGGUUUCCCCUUCGGGGGCAAAAUGACAGGUGGUGCAUGGUUGUCGUCAGCUCGUGUCGUGAGAUGUUGGGUUAAGUCCCGCAACGAGCGCAACCCUUAUGACUAGUUGCCAGCAUUUAGUUGGGCACUCUAGUAAGACUGCCGGUGACAAACCGGAGGAAGGUGGGGAUGACGUCAAAUCAUCAUGCCCCUUAUGACCUGGGCUACACACGUGCUACAAUGGAUGGUACAACGAGUUGCGAGACCGCGAGGUCAAGCUAAUCUCUUAAAGCCAUUCUCAGUUCGGACUGUAGGCUGCAACUCGCCUACACGAAGUCGGAAUCGCUAGUAAUCGCGGAUCAGCACGCCGCGGUGAAUACGUUCCCGGGCCUUGUACACACCGCCCGUCACACCAUGAGAGUUUGUAACACCCGAAGCCGGUGGCGUAACCCUUUUAGGGAGCGAGCCGUCUAAGGUGGGACAAAUGAUUA